rnacentral:rRNA from 1 species
UACGGAGGGAGCUAGCGUUGUUCGGAAUUACUGGGCGUAAAGGGCGCGUAGGCGGCUUUGUAAGUCGGGGGUGAAAGCCUGUGGCUCAACCACAGAAUUGCCUUCGAUACUGCAUGGCUUGAGACCGGAAGAGGUAAGUGGAACUGCGAGUGUAGAGGUGAAAUUCGUAGAUAUUCGCAAGAACACCAGUGGCGAAGGCGGCUUACUGGUCCGGUUCUGACGCUGAGGCGCGAAAGCGUGGGGAGCAAACAGG